rnacentral:rRNA from 1 species
AUCUGGGCGGCGGAAUUCAGGACGGCUGGCGGGUUUCGCGCUCGUUCGGCCGUUUGAUAUUUCCGUCGCCGUGUCAGACGUCGCGACCUGUUUGUCGUCGGUCCUUGCUCGGAGGAAUUGCGAUCGAGUUCGUUGCGGGCACGCCUCGGUGUGUUUCGCGGCGAAGACGCGACUCUCUGGCUGACGGCGGACAGUAAGCAACGGUGGCCGGCGCCGUGUCUCGCACUCGGCGUCGGUACCGGUCAGCGACGAUUUCUUCGGGCCUCUUUCCGACCCGUCUUGAAACACGGACCAAGGAGUCUAACAUGCGCGCGAGUCGCGGGGUUUCGAGCGUGCCACGGUGCGCUCGUUACUUCCGAAACCCGUACGUUGAAGGCGUAAUGAAAGUGAACAGGGAAGAUGGCGUUCCGAGUCCACGUACCGUGAUCGAGUAUCGCGGCCGGACGCCCGCACUCCCGGGGCGUCUCAAUGGCUCGCCACGGAUGCGGACGGUCGUCUUUCGGGGCGGUCGUCGGUCUGUGGCGGUCCGA